rnacentral:lncRNA from 1 species
UUGAUUAAACUACAUAAAAUAUAAUAGCCCUACUCAACUGAUAGUUGUGUAAAGGUUGAGGGCAAUGCUAACCCUUGGAAGGAGAAUGAAACAAUGGGUGGUUAUUCAGAUUCUAAGUGUGGAUAUAUGUUGGGAACAAACCAUAGAUAAUUCAACAUGCAAAAUAAACCAAAUCCACAACUGCAUUCCAGAAAAGACAGAAUAAUGGAAAUAAUAGUAUAUUCAAUUCCCUCGACUCACUGUUAUAUAAACCAACAAUGUAUAAGAAGAGAAGCUAGAAGCCUUCAUACCCAUUAGAUUCACGCACAAACCCCUUCACUAGAUGCUUAGAAAAGGAGUAAACCUGUGUUCAGGGCGUUGAAUGGAAUUUGGCCAUGCUUCAAA